rnacentral:tRNA from 1 species
GUUCUUUUAGCUUAAGUUUUAAAGCAUAAUAUUGAAAAUAUUAAGAUAUUUUAUCUGUUAAAUUAAGAACA